GCUUGCUGGGGUGGAUGAGUGGCGAACGGGUGAGUAACACGUGCAGUAACCUUCCCUUGACUCUGGGAUAAGCCUGGGAAACCGGGUCUGAUACCGGAUACGACCGGUCACCGCAUGGUGGUUGGUGCUAAAGAUUUAUCGGUCUUGGAUGGACUCGCGGCCUAUCAGCUGGCUGGUGACGUGCUGGCCUACCGCGGCCACCACGGGUAGCCGGCCUGACAGGGUGAACCGUCUACACUGGGACUGAGACACGGCCCAGACUCCUACGGGAGGCAGCAGUGGGGAAUAUUGCACAAUGGGCGCAAGCCUGAUGCAGCGACGCCGCGUGAGGGAUGACGGCCUUCGGGUUGUAAACCUCUUUCAGUAGGGAAGAAGCGAAAGUGACGGUACCUGCAGAAGAAGCGCCGGCUAACUACGUGCCAGA
rnacentral:rRNA from 1 species